rnacentral:tRNA from 11 species
GGUGGGAUUCCCGAGCGGCUAAAGGGAGCAGACUGUAAAUCUGCCGUCAUCGACUUCGAAGGUUCGAAUCCUUCUCCCACCA